UUGUUACGAGANCGAUAGCGAACAAGUNCCGUGAGGGAAANNUNNNNAGAACUUUGAAGAGAGAGUUCAAGAGUACGUGAAACCGUUCAGGGGUAAACCUGUGAAACCCAAAAGAUCGAAUGAGGAGAUUCNUCGUCAGCGUAUUCAGUAUUAAUGCAGGCUAUGAUGUGAUAAUAGAAUCCUUGUGGUCACNAAAUUAUACUUGUUUGUAUUAUUUCUGCUGGGNAUGUCGGCGUGCACUUCUCCUCUAGUAGAACGUCGCAACCCGUUGGAUGUUUAUCUAUGGCCUGAAUGGUAGCCUUUAAUAUUUAUUAUAUUGAAGACCUUUNGGNGUCCUGAUAAACUGUCNGACGGUAUACAAAUGGUAUUGAGCCGCNAUUANUAUUUGCGUUANACUUAUC
rnacentral:rRNA from 1 species